rnacentral:misc_RNA from 1 species
UACGAAGGGUGCAAGCGUUAAUCGGAAUUACUGGGCGUAAAGCGCGCGUAGGUGGUUCGUUAAGUUGGAUGUGAAAGCCCCGGGCUCAACCUGGGAACUGCAUCCAAAACUGGCGAGCUAGAGUACGGUAGAGGGUGGUGGAAUUUCCUGUGUAGCGGUGAAAUGCGUAGAUAUAGGAAGGAACACUAGUGGCGACGGCGACCACCUGGACUUACACUGACACUGAGGUGCGAAAGCGUGGGUAGCAAACAGG